AUCGUGCUGGGCCGGCGGUGGGUCGAGGACCCGCUGCCGGCGGAUCCGACGCGCCCGUUCGACACCGGCGGCGCGGUG
rnacentral:tRNA from 1 species